UUGGCCCAGGCAAGGGAACUGCUUGAGUAGCUCCGUCUUCUGCCGCUUGUAGUCGUCGGUAGCCGAGCGCCAGUGAGGCUCCUCCAGCACCUCGAAGAUCGCCGCCCCGAUGGACAGGUAGAAGAUGAUGGCCGAGGUCAAGCACUGUAAGCUCUGACAGCCAACUCUGGUCAAGGACUGUCUCUGAGUGCCACUGCUGGGAAUGUGGGAGUCUGCGUAAAAUGAGACCUCUCUGCUGGGAAGACCUUCAGGACUCCCAGAAGUGAUGGGAAAGAAUGAAGCACAGAGACGAUGCAACUCAUCUGAAGAAGGCCUGGCAGAGCCAGGCACAGAAUGCAGAUCUCCUGAUACCUGAGCCCGUGCCUUCACCUCGCUAUCGUUGCUCUUUCGUCCACACUCUGUGCAACAGGCAUUCAAGCUGGACACAAAUACAAAGAAAAGCUUCACCUGCUUUUAAAAAUGGAUGCCUAAACUCAUGGGCUCAUAGCUAGACACCAAGUGCGCUAAAUGGCCAGGACACUUUCAGGCAGGAGAUUUUACUAGUUCAAAAAAGCAGCAAUUAGUGACUAAAUAAGGAUUAAGAACCCUAGUUGUAUGCAUGCAUUUAAAAAAAAAUAAUCUUUCCCUUUUUCUAAUAAGCACUUCUAAGGGGCUCUACUGAGAAUGUAAAAGUAUCACAGAAAAGAAAGAGAUAUUGUGAAAAGAAAAAGAAACUGCUUUUACUUCACUGGUGUCUAUAUUUCUAUCUGAAAUGCCAUUAUAACGACGGCUGAUUUUAUUUGCAAACAGUUGGCAAAGUUUCCAGGAAAUACAUGCAUGGACUAUACCUGACACUAUGUGGUUUUGAACUUAGGAGCCCACGUUUUUUCAUGGGUUGACUAUCAAUAGACAAUCCUGCACCAUGUGGUCCUUUUUUUCCCUGCCCAAUGACACUAUCUCAUUUCCCGCUUACACCAACUCAUAUUCACACGUCACGUCUAUGCCAGCCAGGCAAAUUACAAAUAUUUGAAAAGAGACAGGAAACCAUAGUUGAUAUCGUGUGACACUCAAAGUGACAUCUAUGUGCACCAAAGACUUUGUUGGUUACCGUGGCUUGGGUAUAUUCCUUGAUCCAUGGAAGGCGUGCAAUGCACUAUGCCAGUGGAAAUAAGCAAAAGCAGGUAUAACCUCGAAUACAUCCCGAUGCCUGCCCUCCAGUAAUUCUGUGGUCCUGAGCACUUUUUCUUUCAUGUUUGAGGGUGUUUCUGUUGACAUCUGCCUCUUCUUGUUCCUUCUUACACACAGGGACACAUUGUCCACAUGAAUCCACUGAUUUGAGGGAUAUAGCUUCAGUUACAACCUGUAAUCCAGCACUUUUGGGCUGAAAGUUGCUUUUCAGCUCCUGUUGUUUCCUAAAAUCAUGUUUAGAGAAGAGUUCUCGAAACUCCUACAGCUUCAUCCAGAGCCACAAAUGUCUACAGUUUAAAAAAAAAAAAAAAAGAAAGAAAAAAAUGCAAGGAUUUAAAACUUUCUAGCUUAAAAACAAGAUAUGUGGGAAUAAUAGACCAUCUUACAACACAGGGAGCUUUCUUUUUCUCUUGCAGACAUCAUUUGAGAAAUCAGCAUGGGUUCCCCCGUGACAACACUAAAGAAAAAGUCUGAAUGCCACUAUUUAGCAAGGUUUUUUUGUUUUUGUUUUUUUUUUUAAACUGUUUGCUUCAUCUUUGCCAUAGCUACUGCUCUGUUCUGACGUAAUUUCAAGCCAUGUGGAGACUACCUACAAAAUGAGUCCACUCCUGUCAGCUAUGGCUGUUUACUGAGAUCUGAGGGAGAAAAAAAAAACACAACCUACUGGUAUUAAAAUACACUAAGAAUGCAAUUCGCUCUAGUUUGAAGGUCUUGUCCUUAUGCUUUUUACAUUAACAAUUCCUUUACUUUCCUGUCUGAAUGGGCUUUUUGACAUUAAUAUUACAUUGUAUUUCUAGUAAAAAUCCAGUCUCUCCAAAAGUCAGUUUUUCUGAUGUUAUCUCUGACAAAAAUUGUUGUCAGUAAACAUACCGAUAGAUUACCUUCCCUAACGAAACUUUUCUGUCAGGUUGAGGUGCUGGGGGCGGUGGGUGCACUGCUGUGCUAUGCACACACAUGCCCAAAGUCCAGUCUGAGAGCUGGUCAGGCAUCCAGGCCAAACUCACAAAUUCAGGGCUUCCAGGACCAAGAAAGCAAGUUGUCUGCAGUUAGGUGUUUGACUUUGAUGCACGAAUACUUGAUUUGUAUCUGUACUAGUGUUUAUUAGUUGCCAUAGUAUAUGGCCACUCAUUCCUUGCCUUUUUUUGGAAAUCACUCUAAUCCCAACAUGUGCUCUGAUCCUGUCUCUUCCUGCCUUGUUCUUUAUGUUUUCAUUAAUAAGAAUGGUAUUGCACCAUAUAUUUGUACAGCAAGUGACCACCACAGUCACUGUGUUUUUUACAGUCUAUUUCCAAGUCAGAUUUCCGCUUUAGCCCACCCUGGACCCCUCAGUUCAUUCUGCACAAAGGAUCUGAGAUUUUUCAAGCUAUAACCAUUGCUCAGGCCGCAGACAUCCACUACUACCCUCAGUUUUGUACUUGGUCCUUUUCCACAGAUAUUCUCGCCGCCACUUGUUUCCCCGUUCCUCUCCCCUUGCUCAUAAAAGCAGUCAAUUAACCUUUGGAACAACCAGCCCCCAAACCACCCCUGGGGACCGGCCAGAAGCGAAAUCCUCCCAGCACGCCUCUCUGGAGGGAGGCAAUAACCAGCAAUCACGAUAGAAUUUUUCCACGGAGCCAGACUCAGACUGGCUACCACGUUACACUGCAUGAAGAACCUCUCUCAUAACAGGCAUUUAGACGGGUGGCUCAAAGCCCUUCCUUCAAGCAGAGAUGUUUUUUCCAGUCUUUUGAUUUUCCUAACCUGCCACUGAUCCCUCUUUUCCUCCCAGUCACGCUGUCACCAGCUCUCAAGCAAACUUAAAAUGAGACAAAACCUGGACUAAAACCAAGUCAAAUCCAGUGGCUUUACACAAAGCCAAGGAUGCCUCAGCUACUCU